rnacentral:rRNA from 1 species
UACGUGGGGGGCAAGCGUUGUUCGGAAUUACUGGGCGUAAAGGGCGUGUAGGCGGCUCGCCGAGUCGGAUGUGAAAACUCUGGGCUCAACCCAGAGCCUGCAUUCGAAACUGACGAGCUCGAGUUCUGGAGGGGAAAGCGGAAUUCCUGGUGUAGCGGUGAAAUGCGUAGAUAUCAGGAGGAACACCGGUGGCGAAGGCGGCUUUCUGGACAGAAACUGACGCUGAUGCGCGAAAGCUAGGGGAGCAAACAGG